GUCUGUGUGCCAGGUGCUAGAAGAGGGCACUGGGAGUUGAACCUGGGUCCUCGGGACGAGCAGCCAGUGCUUUAACUGCAGGACCAUUGCACCUCUCCCUCCUAAAAGUGGGCAGAAUCAAACUUUUCACCUUUACGGAGCAGGUUAAAGAAAUGACAGUGAUGUACAAUGGAGUGCCACAUUCACUAAACACGGAGGUGACUGAGCCUCACAUUGUAGUCUGGAACUGUAAUCCCAGUGUCUGGCAAUCUAAGGCAGGACGACUGCCCAUGAGUUCAUGGCCAGCCUGGGCUAUAGAGUGAGCUCAGGACAGCCUGAGCUAUGGUGUCAAGACUAUCUCAAAACAGAAACAAAAAACAAAGAAAGAAAGCAGAAUAUGUUUUCACGUGGAAGGUCAGGCACGGAGAAGAGCAUGCGGCUCUAGCACCUUUUAUCUAUUCAAUGUACCGCUCGCUACCCAGCAUCUGGAAGAAGCCGAGGCGCAAUGUUAGUUAGAGGUUGUGGUUUAUUGUGUCUUCCUUACAUCUAUUCUCUAAGUAAGUUUCAAUUACUUUACCUGUGUAAGAACAACCACUGCAGUGAGACAACAAAGCCCUACUUAGGAGAUAAUGUCUGGCAACAGGCGCUGAGUACCAGGCUGGCACCCCAGUUGUACAUCUAACAACACUGCAGCCCCAGCACCUCCACAGCCUAUGGUAUGAGGCUGUUACCUGAGGAAAGCCACCAGCAUCCUGUUUUUUAUUGGAAUCAAUAAUAUCUAGGCUUCCUUUUACUCCUCCAACCACCUGAUCGAUCACUCAAAACAAAACUGUUCAAUAUUCAACAGCCACGUCUCUCACAAGAAGAAAGCUGAACUGAAAACAGACAGUUCUCAGAUCCAGCAAAGAGCAUGGGUCACGGGACACAGUGCCACCCCUGGGGCAGAAAAUCCCCUCUUACAGCAGGGAGUGGGAACAGCAACCAGUCUGAACAUACCGUUUACGGCCCUCAUGAACAAUUAUUUUACCAAAUAAUUAAUUUGGUCUAAUUGAGAUUAGACCAAAAGAGGAACAUUCCCUUACCAAGGAGACGCCCAAAAGUGUGGGGAGGACUGAUCAGUGAGAUGAGGGGACAAGCCCAGCCCCUACAGCUAUGGCAAAGAGAUAAGUCAGCGGAGCACACGCCUCAGCAGAGAAACAGGUACAGGUCUACACUGCUUGCCUUAAUUCCUUUUGUUAGAUAAACUAUGACCUUAGAAUUCAUGAGCAAAGAAAUUUCUUUUUACAGAGGAAGAAAGAGCAACCACACAUCAGAUACAUAAUCCACCUUAAUCUCUGGAGGAAAGUUUGCUUUUAGCCUCACAGAUAAAUAGUGGGCUGUGCACAGCUAAGCUGUGGAAGCCCCAUUCUGAACUCCACUGCACACAUCCUCUAAGGUCCUGUACUGAGGGACAAACUCAGCAUCUUCUUGGAGCUGCUGAAGAGGAAAAGGAGACGGUGCUGGAGUUUCCCAAGGCUAAGGAAAGGCCGAGAGAAAGGGGACCUCCCAGGUCCUGGCUGCCCAGGGAGGACAAGUGAUUAGCAUAAGAUUGGGCAGCUCAGCCAAGGGCCAGAAGAACACGGAGUUCUCUGGAAGCUGGCCUUGUUUCAUUCCCCAACAAAUGGAUGCCAAAUGCUUAAGACACCACCCAGCCUAGCAAGAAGGGCUUUCUGUGGCUCGGGGCUGUGUGAAGAUCCCAAUCAUUCUCAAGACAGGGAUUCCCUUCUCUCUGCAGUAACAGUCUCUGCUGAUUGAUUCUUAAACCCAGAGAUCAGGAAAAGCAAAGCAUGGACUUAACAACACACGCUCACGACACACAGGGCAAGUCAGCCCAAGGCUGCGGCACCGGGACCGUCACGCGGCAAGGUACUUAUCUACCACCCAAGCCCAAAACUCCAUGAGAAUUAGAAGAAACAAACGAAGACUAGCUCUCGGCAAAGCUGGAAAGAGAAUAUAAUCAUAAAAUAGGAAGCAGCCAAGCUCUCGCAGGGACAGAAUCAAAGCACUGCCCUCCUCUCUCUUGCCCAUCUUUCCAUGCUCACAAGCUCAUCCUUGGAUUAUGGUCAUCUGGAAAAGAGUCUGACAAAUGUUUCCACAACCUCGAAUACCAGGCCUAGCUCUGCCAGAAACAAGAGGUGCACAACUGUUAACCCAAAAAGAACAUGCAAAAAAAACCAGAUACCACCAGUUGUUAUUACUCCAAAACAAACAGCGGCGAUUCCAAAUAGAUUUGCCCAUUAGGGGAAGUCCUCACAAAACUUGGCGAAGAAUAAGCAAGCAUGGACUGGUCAGUUUGGACAAGUUCAAGCAAAAGCAGAAACUCACUUGCAACAACACCCAGCAUGGAUUGACGUGAUUUUUUUCAAAUAUCAAAUGAUAACUUAAAAACCCUGGCUUUCCGUAAGUCUGCUCACCUGAUCUGAGGGUCCGCCCACUGGGGUCCAGCCAGGACAGAGACCGCGGUGUACUCCACUGGGUUGUAGUCCUGCCACUCAACGAGCCAGCCCACCUUCUCAUUCGGAACCUGACUUCGCUCGACUUUUGAACCUGGGUAAGGAGAAGUCCGGGCCUUGUUGUGGGAAUUCUCUUUGGCACCAUUAGAACCAGACAUGAUGUUGGCGUUAAGGUGGAACCCACAGGUUGGAAAUGUGUUUCUAAGGAAAGGAAAAAAAAAAAAGAUAAACAUCUUAUAGACAUUCCAAAAGCAUAUGAAUUAAAGAACCUAGUUCAAAGAUCCAGAAACAUUUGUCAAUUUCAAAACCCUGUAAAAAUCAGAAAAUAACACGGCAAUGACGAUUGCAUGUGUGUACUGCUCUUCCAGAGGACCCAAGUGUGAUUCCCAACACCUAAGCCACACAGCUCACAACCACCUAUAACUCCAGCUCCAGGGUAUCCAAGGCCUCUGACCUCUAAGGCAAGCUGUUUGCUGUCAUCUCAUUGAGAGACUCUCAAAACCCUGCUGCUUCAUUUGCAUGCGCCCUGCAUCCACAAGGCAGGCCCAAGGCCCUAAGAGGCUGGGAGCAAGUGUGAGGUAGGACAGAUGACUUGUUAAGUAAAGUGAAAGUUACAAUCCCUGGACAAGCCACCAGAUCAAAGCCAGCCUGGCCUGCUCAGGAAGGCUGCCUCACAAACAAAUGAAAGUGGUAGGUUUUCACUAUUUUCCCAUCUGAGGACAAGCUUGCUUCAGCUGCUCUAGAUCUGGAAAUCCAAGUUACAAAUUCUUUGAAAAAGGAAAGUCUUCCUCACUCAAACCUAAGUGUGUAUAACACAUGUAUUUGUCAAAAUUAGCUGGAGAGAUGACACUUCUGCUUGGACAGCUACUUAGCCAAUUACUAGGGACUAGAGCUCAGAGCCCAGUACCGAUGUAAGAAGCCAGGAGUCCCACACACACCUCUGACCCCAAGGAUCCAGCCUAGCCAAAAAGACACAAGCCCCAGGUUCAAGGAGAGAAUCUUCCUCAAAGGAGUAGGCAGACGGUGAGUAAUAAGUCACCAGCAUCGUCUUCUGGGCACCGCAUAGGUGCGCA